UUGCCUGUUUUGCAUGUUAUUUUGACAUUAAUAUGUGUCACAUAUCAGUUUCUAAACAAUAUUUAAAAAAAAAUAAUCAUUGAGUUAAUAAAGCCAUGGUCCCUUUUUUGCUUUCUUGAGUAAGGCAGCUGUUUCAGCCCAGUUCAGUGCUUUCUGUGGUGGUUGAGCAGCCAGCGGAAAAUACAGAGCGUAGAGGUUGGUAAUGUUCUCUAGUUGCGCCAUGAUUGGGUAAUGUUUUCUAGUUGUGCCGGGAUUGGCUCAGUGUUCUGUCACUCAUGGGGACACUACAUCACCGCUAAAUCUAAGGGUAGAGCUCGAAAAUUCAAGCCCCUUGGGUGCUGCAUUAGAGUUACAUUAGAAGUGCCCAUCCAAGAAGCCUCAAGGUCAUUGGCCACAGAUAAAAUUGUCAAAUCAUGUUAUUUCUACACUAGCUUUGAUUGGACUGAUCAUGUCAACAUCAUACUUUCAAAAUCUUAGCUAGCAGUCAUCAUCAUGAAUCAAGUUUACAAUCUACAGGCAAGUGCUUUUUCAUCCGUGUCAUAUAAAGAGAAAUGACAGAUAAAACGUAUCGGUACUCAUGGGCCAUUGGACAUAAACAUUACACAACAAGUAGGAAAUCGCAAAUUCAACAAUGAGUGGUUUGGAAGGAAUUAGUGGCUAACUGGAAGCAUUGCAAAGCAAUCCCUAGCCUGCUAUUCAGUGGAGUGGGUUUGUAGUUCCAAGUCUGGGUUUAAGGGUCUCUUUUCCAAACUUAAAAGGAUAAACAUUCAACGUUGGCCAUGCUGUCAAUUCAGCAUGACUUCUGCCAUCAAAACAACUGGAAACUCAGAACCUUGAAAUCUGACUUCAGUGAGUUCAAGACAGCUGGGAACUCGGAAUUGAACGGUCAUCCAAAUCGGUAUUGCAAGUCGGGAACUCAGGCCUCUUUCUAGAGCUCCAACGUCAUCGUAAUUUGACCUUGUUUUUCCCCCCAGAGUUCCCAGUCAUCUUGGACGCACCAUCAAUCCAGAGAAUGCCAGACUUUGAUGACCAAAUUUGCUCAUGAAGGACCUGUUCAAGUGAACACAGCAAGUGUCCUUGUUUCUACAUGUUUUCCAAGAAAAGCCUUUAUUGGAGGAUGCUUUUCUUGAUGGAAAGAAGAAAGCCUGUGUAUAUUCAUCAGAUUUCUGGCCGUUUUGAUGUGGGAAACCUUGCUUCCUAUGUUUAACGUGACUGGUACUUCAGAGAAGAUCUUCAAGGUGUGGGAAACCUUCCUUCCUAUGUUUAACGUGACUGGUACUUCAGAGAAGACCUUCAAGAUGUGAAGUCUUACACAAUAUAGCUUACUCAGGUGCAUGUGUGAGAUUGACAAUGUGAAGAAAACAGCAACUUUGACUAUUACAAAAACAUAUCAAGAGUAAAUGUAUUCAAAUGAAUUAAAACAUUUCUGUUGAUACUGUGGCUCACUGUGACCCGAAUUACAAGCAUGACUUAGUUGGCUUAUGUCAAUACAGUGAACAAAGAUAACAUUCCUGAUUAAAUGUUCUG